rnacentral:tRNA from 1 species
GUUAUUUUGGCAGAUUAGUGUUUUUGAUUUAGAAUCAAAUUAUGUGAAUUAUUUCACAGAUAAUA